rnacentral:rRNA from 1 species
AUUGAACGCUGGCGGCAUGCCUUACACAUGCAAGUCGAACGGUAACAGGUCUUCGGAUGCUGAUGAGUGGCGAACGGGUGAGUAAUACAUCGGAACGUGCCUAGUAGUGGGGGAUAACUACUCGAAAGAGUGGCUAAUACCGCAUGAGAUCUACGGACGAAAGCAGGGGAUCGCAAGACCUUGUGCUACUAGAGCGGCCGAUGGCAGAUUAGGUAGCUGGUGGGAUAAAAGCUUACCAAGCCGACGAUCUGUAGCUGGUCUGAGAGGACGAUCAGCCACACUGGGACUGAGACACGGCCCAGACUCCUACGGGAGGCAGCAGUGGGGAAUUUUGGACAAUGGGCGCAAGCCUGAUCCAGCAACGCCGCGUGCAGGAUGAAGGCCUUCGGGUUGUAAACUGCUUUUGUACGGAACGAAAAGCCCUGGGUUAAUACCCUGGGGUCAUGACGGUACCGUAAGAAUAAGCACCGGCUAACUACGUGCCAGCAGCCGCCGUAACAC